rnacentral:rRNA from 1 species
UACGGAGGGGGCAAGCGUUGUUCGGAUUUACUGGGCGUAAAGGGCGCGUAGGCGGCGUGACAAGUCACUUGUGAAAUCUCCGGGCUUAACUCGGAACUGCCAAGUGAUACUGUCGUGCUAGAGUGCAGAAGGGGCAAUCGGAAUUCUUGGUGUAGCGGUGAAAUGCGUAGAUAUCUGGAGGAACACCGGUGGCGAAGGCGGCAUCCUGGACCAACACUGACGCUGAGGAGCGAAAGCCAGGGGAGCAAACGGG